GGAGGGAUCAUUACAGAGUUGCCUUCGGGCAUUCUCCCGUUCUUGUUGUUUGACCAUGUUGCCUUGCCUUCGGGCAGGAUUAUUCUGAAUUAGUGUUGUCUGAGUAUAACAUCAACGUUAAAACUUUCAACAACGGAUCUCUUGGUUCUGGCAUCGAUGAAGAACGCAGCGAAAUGCGAUAAGUAAUGUGAAUUGCAGAAUUCCGUGAAUCAUCGAAUCUUUGAACGCACAUUGCGCCCUUUGGUAUUCCGAAGGGCAUGCCUGUUCGAGCGUCAUUACACUAUCAGCCUCGCUGGUGUUGGGUCUGCGUAGCAUUCCUUAAAAACAGUGGUGAUAAUCGUCUACUCACACGUAGUAAACUAUCGUGACGGCUAGGCGAGGACUCCCCAGAACUCACUAUAUUGUUUGACCUCGGAUCAGGUAGGGAUACCCGCUGAACUUAAGCAUAU
rnacentral:sRNA from 1 species